CCUACGGGAGGCAGCAGUGGGGAAUAUUGCACAAUGGGCGAAACCCUGAUGCAGCGACGCCGCGUGAAUGAAGAAGGAUUUCGGGAUGUAAAGUACUAUCAGCAGGGAAGAAAAUGACGGGACCUGACUAAGAAGCCACGGCAAACUACGGUCCAGGAGCCGCGGUAAUACGGAGGGGGCAAGGGUUAGCCGGAUGGACUGGGCGGAAAGGGAGCGGAGGCGGUGCAGAAAGAACGAAGUGAAAGCCCCGGGCCCAACUCGGGGACUGCUUUUGAAACUGUUGAACUAGAUUGCAGGAGAGGUAAGUGGAAUUCCUGGUGUAGCGGUGAAAUGCGUAGAUAUUAGGAGGAACACCAGUGGCGAAGGCGGCUUCCUGGACUGUGAAUGACGCUGAGGCUCGAAAGCGUGGGGAGCAAACAGGAUUAGAUACCCCAGUAGUC
rnacentral:rRNA from 1 species